ACGAACGCUGGCGGUGUGCCUCACACAUGCAAGUCGAACGGGGUAGCAAUCCCAGUGGCGGACGGGUGAGUAACACGUGGGAAAUCUGCCUUUAAGUGGGGGGAUAACAGUCCGAAAGGAUUGCUAAUACCGCAUACGUCGCAAGAUAAAAAGCAGCAAUGCGCUUGAAGAUGAGCCCGCGUCCGAUUAGCUAGUUGGUAAGGUAAAGGCUUACCAAGGCUACGAUCGGUAGCUGGUCUGAGAGGAUGAUCAGCCACAAUGGAACUGAGACACGGUCCAUACUCCUACGGGAGGCAGCAGUGGGGAAUUUUACACAAUGGGCGAAAGCCUGAUGUAGCGACACCCGCGUGAGCGAAGAAGCCUUUUGGGGUGUAAAGCUCUGUCAGCAGGGGACGAAAUCAAUGACGGUACCUGCAGAGGAAGCAUCGGCUAACUACGUGCCAGCAGCCGCGGUAAGACGUAGGAUGCAAGCGUUGUCCGGAUUUAUUGGGCGUAAAGAGUUCGUAGGUGGUUCGUUAAGUCUGAUGUUAAGAUCGGGGCUCAACCUCGGGAGUGCAUUGGAUACUAGGCCUGGACUUCGAGUGGCAGUAGAGGCAAGCGGAAUUCCAGGUGUAGCGGUGAAAUGCGUAGAUAUCUGGUAAGAACACCGGUGGCGCAAGCGGCUUGCUGGGCUGUAACUGACACUGAGGAACGAAAGCUAGGGGAGCAAAAUGGGAUUAGAUACCCCAGUAGUCCUCGCUGUAAACGAUGGAUACUAGGCCGUAUCGGGUAUCGACCCCUGAUGUGCCGCAAGCUAACGCGAUAAGAUUACCCGCCUGAGUAGUACGGCCGCAAGGUUGAAACUCAAAGGAAUUGACGGGGGCCCGCACAAGCGGUGGUGGAACAUGUGGUUUAAUUUCGAAGCAACGCGAAGAACCUUACCAGGCUUGACAUGUCUGGAACUUUGCCGAAAGGUGAAGGUGCCCGCAAGGGAGCCAGAACACAGGUGGUGCAUGGCUUGUCGUCAGCUCGUGUCGUGUAGAUGUUGGGUUAAGUCCCGCAACGAGCGCAACCCCCGUUGUUAGUUGCCAUCAGGUAAUGCUGGGCACUCUAGCGAGGACUGCCGGUGACAAACCGGAGGAAGUGGGGGACGACGUCAAGUCAUCAUGCCCCCUUAUGCCUGAGGGCUACACACGUGUUACAAUCCACGGGACAAUGCGAUGCAAACUCGCGAGAGUGAGCGAACCGUCAAACCGUGGUCAGUUCAGAUCGCAGGCUGCAACUCGCCUAGCGUAAGUCGGACAAUCGCUAGUAAACGCCGAUCAGCACGCGGGCGUUGAAUACGUUCCCGGGCCUUGUACACACCGCCCGUCACGUCAUGGGAGUUGGUCACGCCCGAAGUCGGUGUUUUAAAGCCGCCUAAGAGCAGGGCCGAUGACUGGGACG
rnacentral:rRNA from 1 species